rnacentral:rRNA from 1 species
AUUGAACGCUGGCGGCAGGCCUAACACAUGCAAGUCGAGCGAGCGGCGGACGGGUGAGUAAUGUCUGGGGAUCUGCCCGAUAGAGGGGGAUAACUACUGGAAACGGUGGCUAAUACCGCAUACCAUCCGAUGAGCCCAGAUGGGAUUAGCUAGUAGUUGGGGUAAAGGCUCACCAAGGCGACGAUCCCUAGCUGGUCUGAGAGGAUGAUCAGCCACACUGGAACUGAGACACGGUCCAGACUCCUACGGGAGGCAGCAGUGGGGAAUAUUGCACAAUGGGCGAAAGCCUGAUGCAGCCAGGCCGCGUGUAUGAAGAAGGCCUUAGGGUUGUAAAGUACUUUCAGCGGGGAGGCGUUACCCGAAGAAGAAGCACCGGCUAACUCCGUGCCAGCAGCCGCGGUAAUAC